GUGGAUAACCUUCUUUGCUACAUCACCAACGCCGCCUCGACAGGUUCCACCGUCAAUGUCAGCAAAAUUUUGAUGGCCCUGACCAACAACAUCGUCACGAGGGCGGUUUUCGGCGGCAAGUUCACACAACAGGGCAAGUACCUCCACGAGUUGGACAAGGUUCUCACUGUGCUGGGCGGCUUCUGCCUUGUGGACCUUUUCCCGUCAUCACGAUUGGUAUGGUGUCUGAGCAAUGGCAAUCGCCAAAUUAAGAAAGCUUAUGGCCGCAUCCAGCACAUCAUUUGCAAAGUCAUCGAGGGGCGCAUGGCCGCACGAGCGGCCGGCGAUGGCGUCACCCGCACAGAUGAAGAGGACCUGUUGGAUGUGCUCCUGAGGCUGCAGCAGGAUGAUUCAUUGGAAUUCCCUCUAACCACCGAGAAUAUAGGCGCCGUUUUGUUUGACAUAUUUGCAGGUGGCACAGAGACCAAGGGUGGUGUUUUAGCAUGGGCUAUGUCGGAGCUUGUGCACGCUCCAGAAAGUAUGAUCAAAGCACAACAAGAAGUCCGGGACGUGCUAGGUGAAGACCGAGCUGUCAUCACCAAUAGUGACUUUGCUGAGCUUCACUACAUGCGGAUGGUUAAGGAAACCCUCCGGUUGCAUCCACCUGGUCCUCUAGUCCCACGAGCGACUAGAGAGGAUUGUACAAUUCUGGGUUAUGACAUCCCUAAAGGAACCAACGUCUACAUUAAUGUCUUUGCGAUUUCUCGAGACCCUAGAUACUGGAACAACCCUGAAGAUUUUAAGCCCGAAAGGUUUCAGAACAGCACCGUGAAUUACAUUGGAACAAACUUUGAAUACGUUCCCUUUGGUGCUGGACGACGUCAAUGCCCCGGGAUUCACUUCAGCUUCCCAGUUAUGGAGAUGGUGUUAACAAAUUUACUGUACUACUUUGACUGGAAGCUUCCUCAUGGGGCUAGCCUGGCUUCAUUUGACAUGUCUGAGAAAUUUGGGUUAGCAGUAACAAGAAGGUCUGACCUGCAACUCAGAGCUGUUCCACAUGUGCAGUUCAAAGCUAUGUUUUCAAAGUGA
rnacentral:rRNA from 1 species